rnacentral:ncRNA from 1 species
UAAAUGUUUGGUUUUAGCUUAAAUUUUUACAUUAUUAUUAAAAUUGUAUGAAAGUUAGGGCGCGAUUUGAAUAACUUAAUUAAAUAUUAGGUUGCAGCUAAAGGGGAAAUAAAAUUAUAAAUCUUACGGUCUCAGCAUGAAAUAUUAUAAACAUAAUAUAUAAGAGUAUGAUAUAGUAAUAAUACAAAAAUCUGAUAAAUAUUUGUGCCAGCAUUCGCGGUUAUACUUUAAGAUUGAGUAAAAAAUUUUAGGUUAUAGUUAAAUGAGUAGAUUAAAUAAAAUAUAAACAAUAAAGGGUAAAAUCAGGAUAUUGUUUUGUAUAAAAGGAAAUCUUAAUUGAAGCUAAAAAAAUUUAGUAAUAAACUAGGAUUAGAUACCCUAUUAUUCUAAAAUAAAUUAACCUAAACUAAAUUAGUAAAAGAUAAAUACUUAAAAUUUAAAAAAUUUGGCGGCAGUUUAAUCUUUUCAGAGGAACCUGUUUUAGAAUCGAUAAACCACGAAAAAUCUCACUUGCUUUUGUGUAAACAACAGUUUGUAUACCAUCAUUAUCAGAUAAUUCUUAAAGGAAAAAUUAUUAAAUUUAGUUGUUUAGUAAAAUUAGAUCAUGGUGCAGUCUAUGGGCAAGGUAAAAUGGGUUACAAUAAAUUACUUUAUUGCGGAUUAGUAAAAUAAUUUUAUUAUGAAGAUGGAUUUGAUUGUAUUUUUAGUUUAAUAAGCUAAUAAGAUAUAAGUUCUAAAUUGUGUACAUAUCGCCCGUCGCUUUCAUUUAUAAGUGAAAUAAGUCGUAACAUAGUAGAUGUAUUGGAAAGUGUAUCUGGUAAAAA